CUUACUGAAAGUUCCUUGGCAUUCUGUCCACCUCCUUGCCGAUCGAUCUUGCAGAAAGUUUUUUUUUGGAGGUGGGCAUACUGCCAAUGGAGCUGUGUAGG
rnacentral:pre_miRNA from 1 species